GAAGUCAGGAACCAGAUCCAGUUGAAGACCUCAUAGAAUGACAAAAACAUCACAAUUUUGGGUAAAAAAAAUUAUUUUUCAUAGAUAUACAGAAAACUGAGCAAAUAAAUAACUAAAUUUGUCAAACUUUUAACUUCAUCUGAGUUUUAAUAUUAAUUUUACUUUUACUUCCGGAAUUUUUAAGGUUUAGAUAAAGACAAUAUAAUUAUAAUCUAUGACACAUGUCGGGGUUAUCUAGAGUCAUUAUAUUUCUAUGGAAGAGCUUUUAAGUCAAAGGCUAUCUAGUCGAGAAGACAUUUUGGCACUUAUAAAAUAUAUAUACGAUUAUAUAUAUUUACUCUACUCUUAUGUCAUAUAGUAUUCCUUCCUUUCUUAUUUAAGCUCAGUUCGGUGCCAAAAAUUAGUAGCAAAUCAUCUUCAGAACAAACAAGACGAAAGUGAAAAACGAUUUUUAUUUAAAAUGAAAAUAGUGUGGAUGCUGGCUAUAUUGUCUUAUCUCAUUAUGCAAUUGUAUUAUAGUCUUACAGAUUCGGGUCUCAAAACGACUUGCCGAAAUAGAAAUCACCGCGGACAAUGUAUAGACUAAAUAUAAAGGGCUCAGUGUGGAAAUAUCAAUGAACUAUUUUGUCUCUCUCUGAAUAACAUUGCAUAACUGAAGCCAGGAACAAGAUCUAGUUGAAGACGUCAUCGAAUAAUUAGAAUAUUGUAACAGAAAACUUCGCAAAUAAAUAACUAACUUUGUUCGAACUUCGAACUUCUUCUAAGUUUUAAUUAUAAUUUUACUUCUAGUUGAUUAAUUUUAAAGAUUUAAAAAAAAAAUAGAAGACGAAUAAUAGGCAAUAUAAUCAUAAUCUUUGACACAGCCGGAAACGUAUGGACGUCGGGGUUAUCUGCGGUCAUUACAUUUCUAUGCAUGCGGGUCUCAAAGAUAGCUAGCCUAGAAGUAAUUUGGGCUGCAAUGCAAUGUAUACGAUUCUAUAUUUACUCUACUCUUAUCUCAUUUACUAAGCCUUCCUUUCUUAUAUAACCUCUGUCGGAUGCCCAAAAUCAGUAGCAAACCAAUUUCAGAACAAGCAACACGAAAGUGUAAAAGUUUCUUCAAAAUGAAAAUAAAGUGGAUGCUGGCUAUAUUGUUUUACAUAAUUAUGCAACUUAAUGAUGAUUGGCACUCUACGUGCCGACAUAGAGAUCAUGCAGGAAGGUGUACAUACUAAUAAGAAAGUGCUUCCUGUUGAAAGAUCAAUAAAAUAUUUUAAAUCUCCCUAAAUAAUAUUCCAUAACUGAAGUCAGGAACAAGAUCCAGUUGAAGACAUCAUCAAAGAACCAGAAAAUCAUAAUUUUUGUAAAAGAAAUUCAAUUUUUUUAGAUGUACAGAAAUCUCAGCAAAUAAAUAAAUAAUUUUGU